UACCCGUAGAUCCGACUGUGGG
rnacentral:miRNA from 1 species